CAUAAAUUGACCUUACUUCAGUGGAAUGGAAUAGAACAGAAGGGAAUGGUAUGCCCUACAGAUUUAUCUAGAGGUUCCAGAAAGCUUUGAGGUAAAAAGAAGUCGGGGGAACAGUGGUUUGAAAAAAUUUCGUGAUUCAGUGGCUGUGACCCUCUCACCUGUUGGAACAUGGAAAUUUAACGUGUUUUUGUCUUUAGAAAGCGGAUGCCCUCCGUCUGUGCACCUUCUCUUCCUUUCUGAGCUGCACAACAGGGCAAGCAAGAACGCUGCAGGAAAGAGAUGUUUUGCCUGAUGGGAAAUUCGCUCAUAGAGCAACGCUGCAGAGUUUGCAGCACAGAGGGACCUAGAUCAACACGACUGCCUGCUCUGCGAUCCAGCCCUGAGUUCUCCUCUCCCGCUAGCUGACUCUCAGGAUCAGGGCCGUUCGGAGCCCUCUUCAGGAGGCAGGAAGGUACAAGACCAUCGCCAUCAACUAGAUUGCUUCUGAGUUUUUCCACUUUCGGAAACUCCCAGGUCUCACUUAGGAGCCUGCCUCAGGUGACUUGGAUGUACCUGGGCUCAUCUGCUUCCUCGGAGACCUCUCAGCAGAAGCUCAGGGUCCCCCACAGGGGUGGGAGGAGGGGGAAGCACCCAAAGCCUGGGACCUAGCCAUGCCAGGAGAAGAAUUCGGACAAGGGGCUCCCUGCCUGGGUCUGCCCUUGACAAGUUGUCAUUAUUGUCCCGGAUAAGAAGGAAGGCGACUGCGGCUGAGCAUGGUCACGCAACUCGCACGUGGCCAGGGCUUCCCAGCAUCAGAGCUGGGUCUGUCUUUUGCUACCGUCCCUCAGUGAUUUCAACUCCCAAGUCCACUCCUUGCAAGCUGGUCACAUUGGGUGGUCACUUAAUGCACGUUGGUGCCCUUGCC
rnacentral:lncRNA from 1 species